rnacentral:misc_RNA from 1 species
GAUUGGAGUUUUGCUCUUGCAGACGAUUCCAUAUAAUGCAAGUGGAAUUUUGAACCAAAAGAGACACCCAUCAUCUUACCCUCUUCUUAUUCUUCUCUUGUUUUUCACAAUUUGUUUUCAUUUUGGAGAUCACACACACAAAAAGACACGCACAAAUAUAUUGAGGGAGGAAGAAGAGAGAGCGGUAAAUAUAAGAAAGGGAGGGAAAGAGCUAAACUACGAAAGGAGAUGAAAAAUAAAAU